rnacentral:rRNA from 1 species
CAAGACCUUGCGCUUUAGGAGCGGCCGAUGUCGGAUUAGCUAGUUGGUGGGGUAAAGGCUCACCAAGGCGACGAUCCGUAGCGGGUCUGAGAGGAUGAUCCGCCACACUGGGACUGAGACACGGCCCAGACUCCUACGGGAGGCAGCAGUGGGGAAUUUUGGACAAUGGGCGAAAGCCUGAUCCAGCCAUGCCGCGUGAGUGAAGAAGGCCUUCGGGUUGUAAAGCUCUUUCGGCGGGGAAGAAAUCGCAUUCUCUAAUACAGGAUGUGGAUGACGGUACCCGAAUAAGAAGCACCGGCUAACUACGUGCCAGCAGCCGCGGUAAUACGUAGGGUGCGUGCGUUAAUCGGAAUUACUGGGCGUAAAGCGUGCGCAGGCGGUUUCGUAAGACAGACGUGAAAUCCCCGGGCUCAACCUGGGAACU